ensembl:snRNA U6 U6 spliceosomal RNA
AUACUGGCUUUGGCAGCAUAUAUACUGAAAUUGGAAUGACACAGAAAAGAUUAGCAUGCCCACUGCACAAGGGCAACCUAUAAAUUUGUGACGUGCUCCAAGUUAUU